GUGAGCCGAGAUCACGCCACUGCACUCCAGCCUGGGCGACAGAGUGAGACUCUGUCUCAAAAAAAAAAAGUCACGAGAACUGUCUGGAAAUGUGAGCAAUUUCAAGCGAGAGAUUAGUUGUUUUACAAAGUUCAUUAAAAUAUGCAUCAACCAUUCUUCAUCUCUUUGAAUAAAGGUAGGACACUAUGUAAUUUUAUGUAGAUUUCUUCCAGCUGAUAUUAAAUUUUGAAUGCAGAACUAAAUGAAUUUGUUUGUGUUGUCAGCUUUGGAUACCUGAUGUUAUAAAACUGCAGUUCUAAUUGGAAAUGUGAUUCUGAUAUACUCCCUUUAGGAGUUUGACUGUUUUACUUACUUUAUGAAGCAAGAAAUAAUAAUAAAAUUUUAGCUCUCAUAAUCAAGAGCCAUUUGAAUACUCAUAAAUUAAAAAUAUUUAGAUGUCAAGACAGUAAAGCCUAUGACAUGAAAAGGACCAGAUAACUAGUUAAAUGAAUUUCCAUGGGUCAAGUUGCACAAGUAACAUAGUCUAGAAGUGUGGAUUAAUUUUCACUCCGAUAACGCGUUAUCUUGCUUAAAUGUGAUUAAAAAUCCCCACUGGGUUCUAUGUUAAUCUUUCCUCCAAAGAUUUGGAUCUUAUCAAGUUUGGGAGCUACUUUGGAAGUAGAGAGUGCUCUCCAAAAGAACUCUCAAGAGGCAGUAUCAGUUUUUACAAUCUACUCUGGGGUAAUGAGAGAGUGGUUGAGUUUACAUAGAUUAUCACUUAUGGCUGCCUCCCUGGCUUGACAUUGUACAGGGGGAGAGCUCAAAGCUCAGUGAGGCUCAGACGAGGUCAGACACAGAGAAAUUUGGAGACCAUUUUUAGUGAUUUGACUUAAGAUGCUUUAGGUUUUGUUUUGUUUGUAUUAUCUUCUUUUAAUGCCUCAAAAAUUUCCCUCUCUAUAACGAGCCUUUGCUCUAAAAAAUUCCCUAUGUAAUUUAUUUAGCAAACAUGCAUUGAGUGUCUGUCAUGUGCCAAUUACUAUGCUGGGGGCUGGGGAUGUAGCAGUGAAUGAGGACAAUGAAAUGCUUGCCCUUCUAGGACUGACAGUGGCGAAGAGGUUAGCAUUAACUAGACAAUACACAAGAGCAAUAAGGGCCCUGAAAAUAUCUUUCUUCCUUAAAUACUGUCUUUCACUCCAUUCUUCUCUUAUGGGACUUAAAGGAUAUGUUCAAGUUCUCCUGUUACUUUAUAUUUGAAUACAAUGAACAUUCAUUUAUUGAUUCAUUUACUCUCUUCUUUCAAUAAGUAUAAAUUGACUAAGUCAUCUUUCUAACAAUUGAAUAAUAGUAAGAUUCAUUAGUCCUGCCCUCAAGCAUCCUAUGGCCUAGGGUGGGAGAUAAUAUAUGUAUAUACAUCAUGAUGAUUUUGCCACUCCAUACAGUUAUGAAAAUACAGAUAAAAGGUUAUUUCCAAUUAACAGAGUCAGGAAAGCCUCCCUGGAUGAAGAAGCUGUAAACUGGGCCUUAUGAUUAGAGCGGUUAUAUGCAUAUGGCAAAAGGAGAGAAGCUAUUCCAGGUAAAAGCCACAAAAAUAAAGGCAGAAAGUUGGGAAUUCAGAAUCAACAAAGGAGCAGCAACCAUUCAGUCUGGCUGACUUCUCAUCUCAUUUUUGAUAGAGUGGGUUAGGGAUGAGGUAGAGGUAUGGAAAGAAAAGAGGAUAGUUAUAAGUGACUAAUAAAUGUUUGUUGCCAAGGACCACCACAGAAUCCUCAUUAUUUGGAAGCUCCUUUAUGGAAUAUGCUUUGAAAUUUAGGGUGUUCUACAACUACCCCACCACACAGGGCUAGUCCUGUAAGUUUCAAUUAUCUGAAGUUAUUCUAGUUACACAGGAAUGCACAAUAUUAAAAUUAACAGAUAUUGAGGCCAAAUAAUCAACAAUAGCUGGAAGCAUGUACCUUGGAAAGAUAUGUCCUCAUUUUGAAAUUGAAUCCCAGACAAAACUCCUGGAAUUUCAGGUUUGGUUACAAAUAUUGAACUUGUAUGAAGUUCACCGAAGUUCAUUUCCAUGGAGCCUGGAGUGAGUUAGGCAUAAAUCAUAACCAGCCGAGGUGGAAGCCCAUAUGCAUACAUUCAUAGGUACAGACAGACAAACCCCAGUCCUUCAUAGCUUCAGAUGGAAACCAUAUGAAAUGUCAUGGCCUUGCACAGCUUCAGCCAGAAGCCUGGGCAGCUCUGUGCCUUCCGCUGGGGCUCUCUCAGUGGUUUUAUUUCCGAUUGAUCCUGAGUGUAUAGCAGGGUGCCCAACCUGCCCAUGGAAACUAAGAAGCUUGAGGAAAUAGCUGGGUCGAAACUAUGAAACUGUGCUCACUGUUCAAACCUAUGUUCUGUAAAAUUUACAACAGAUUCAGUCACCUCACAUUUCCAUGUAAAUUACUGCUCGAGAGGGAAGCUUGUCUUGCUGGGGCUUCCACUGUUGAAUUUUUAAAAUUGACAACACCUUCUGUUCCUAGCUGGAAUUAUGAGACAAAGAAAAAAGAGAACGAGAGGGAGAAAAUGUUCUAUCUUACUUCAACAGGCUCCGUUUUAUUGCAGUGCCAAAAUUUUUGAUCCACUGCAACAAACCAGAGACGACUUAACCAGGAUGACAAGGGUAUUACAAACUAGAAACUAGAGGAGUUUCACCUGAAAAUUGGGAGAUUUUGAGCAAAAACCUAGAGAUUAAAAAAUGGAGUCACAUGGCUAAGCAAGAUGUAUUAUUUAUUCAGUCCAAAGAAAUGCUAUGUUACAUCUGGAUUCAAGGGACUUUGCAGUAAUUCCAAGAGGUAGAAUGUAAGUCCCUGGGGGAAAGAGUCUCCAUGUGUGUUCAGUGUUUUGUGUGUGAUGAAACCUAUAUGUGUUUUCAUUUUCUUUCCUCUAAGAAACUUUUAUAUACAUAUUAACAGUUGCAGAGCGUUAAUGGGAGAAGAGAAAUGAGCAUAAAGUAAAAUGCUAGUAGCAAUGAUUAAUGCAACACUUAUUGUGGCCAAGAAUUUUACAUUUGUUAUCUCAUUUAAGUUUCAUGAAAAUCUCCAUUUACAGAGAAGAAAACUGAGACUGAAACUACCUUGCUCAAGCUCAUCGAGCUAGUAAGUGGAGGAAUUAGGGAUGUGAAACAAGGUCUGGAUGCCUCUGGGGCCCAUGCCCUAAACUAUGAUGUCAUAUCACCUUAGAAUACUAAAUCAGGCUGGGAGUGCUCAGAAGAAUUCAGAGCUUCUGAAUUUCAGACUGGUCCACACUUGACUCAUCUGGCUAUUUAAAGUGAAUGUAGCUUCAGAAUUAGGGAACUUGAUAUCGUGAACCCCCUGCAAAUCCGCAGCAGAGCAGAGAUGCCUAGAUUCUUAAUCCAACUCUGUCAUUUACUGACAAUGUAAAUGACAGGGUUUGGCUGUGUCCCCACCCAAAUCUCAUCUUGAAUUCCCAUAUGUUGUGAAAGGAACCUGGUUGGAGGUAAUUGAGUCAUGGGGGCAGGUCUUUCCCAUGCUAUUCUUGUGAUAGUGAGUAAGGCUCACGAGAUCUGAUGGUUACUGUAAGGGGGAGUUUUCCUGCACAAGCUCUCUUCUCUUGUCUGCCACCAUAUGAGAUGUGCCUUUAACCUUCUUCCAUGAUUGUGAGGCCUCCCCAGCCACGAGGAACUGUAAGUCCAAUAAACUCCUUUCUUUUGUAAAUUGCCCAGUCUUGGGUAUGUCUUUAUGAGCAGUGUGAAAAUGGACUAAUACAGUAACCUUGUAUAUCUUAUUAACCUUCUCCAAGCCCCUAUUUCUAUUUCAUUAGCAUUGGAAGAAUAAAAUCUUCACUGUUUAUGUAAUUGGUUUUGAGAAGUAAGCCAAACUGCAUAUACUAUAAAGUACAAAACAAUAGUAUAUAUUGUGAUUAUUUUGUGAUUUUCUCAAGUAUUCUGCUUUUCCAUGGAAAUAAUAAAUUGUAAUAAUGAUGGACAUCUAUUAUUGUUGCUGUUAUUAUUGCUAAUCCUACAUAAAGUAACAGGAUUGACUAUAUAUUAAUUACGGAGGGAAUAAGAAAAAGGAAAAAAUGUUCCAGGGUUCAUGGUCAUUUUGGGAAACUUGAUAAUUUAGUACUGGAAUAAGACUUUAGGACUGAUCUUGGCAGGAUAGCCAAAGGGCUCUGCCACCAUGAAACUUAGAAAACUCCAUUUUGGCCGG
rnacentral:lncRNA from 1 species